ACUCCUACGGGAGGCAGCAGUGGGGAAUAUUGCACAAUGGGCGCAAGCCUGAUGCAGCCAUGCCGCGUGUGUGAAGAAGGCCUUCGGGUUGUAAAAGCACUUUUCAGUCGUGAGGAAGGUAGUGUAGUUAAUAGCUGCAUUAUUUGACGUUAGCGACAGAAGAAGCACCGGCUAACUCCGUGCCAGCAGCCGCGGUAAUACGGAGGGGGUUAGCGUUGUUCGGAAUUAACUGGGCGUAAAGCGCACGUAGGCGGAUCGGAAAGUUGGGGUGAAAUCCCGGGGCUCAACCCCGGAACGGCCUCCAAAACUAUCGGUCUAGAGUUCGAGAGAGGUGAGUGGAAUUCCGAGUGUAGAGGUGAAAUUCGUAGAUAUUCGGAGGAACACCAGUGGCGAAGGCGGCUCACUGGCUCGAUACUGACGCUGAGGUGCG
rnacentral:rRNA from 1 species